UCAUAAAAAUUAAUGAUACAUAUCAAAUAAACAAGUAUACAAACUAGGGUAAUUAUUGAAAUACUCAUAUAUGUUAAAUUAAUUAGCCUUUAGUAGCCUUUAUCAACAAUUAUGGAAUAUUUCCGUCUCUAUGUUAUAUUGAAACACUUGGCACAAAUCAAAAUGUUAUCCGACAAUCAACAUGUUUAUUUUAAUCCAAUUUUCCUUCAUUGCUUUUUCAAAUAUCGUUUAUACAUGUACAUCCACGGAGUUGACUGGGGUAUGCUCAAACGGUUCAGAUGGAAGUCGCUUGGAGUGUUGUGAAAACUAUCGAGCCGUUGGAAACUCUUGUGAAGAAUGUUUGCCGGGAACUCAUGGUGUAGAUUGUAGGGACUACUGUCCUCCAAACUUCUACGGCAGAUUAUGCUCAAAGAAAUGUGGCUGUGAACCAUGUGAUAAUGUCACAGGAUGUUUAAAUGCAACGG